rnacentral:rRNA from 1 species
UACGAAGGGGGCUAGCGUUGCUCGGAAUCACUGGGCGUAAAGCGCACGUAGGCGGCUUUUUAAGUCAGGGGUGAAAUCCCGGAGCUCAACUCCGGAACUGCCUUUGAUACUGAAAAGCUUGAGUUCGGGAGAGGUGAGUGGAACUGCGAGUGUAGAGGUGAAAUUCGUAGAUAUUCGCAAGAACACCGGUGGCAAAGGCGGCUCUCUGGACCGUAACUGACGCUGAGGCGCGAAAGCGUGGGGAGCAAACAGG